AUUGAACGCUGGCGGCAGGCCUAACACAUGCAAGUCGAGCGAGCGGCGGACGGGUGAGUAAUGUAUCGGAAACUGCCCGAUGGGGGGGGAGAACUACUGGAAACGGUAGCUAAUACCGCAUACCAUCAGAUGUGCCCAGAUGGGAUGAGCUCGUAGGUGGGGUAACGGCGCACCUAGGCGACGCUCCCUAGCUGGUCUGGGAGGAUGACCAGCCACACUGGAACUGAGACACGGUCCAGACUCCUACGGGAGGCAGCAGUGGGGAAUAUUGCACAAUGGGCGCAAGCCUGAUGCAGCCAUGCCGCGUGUGUGAAGAAGGCCUUCGGGUUGUAAAGCACUUUCAGCGGGGAGGCGUUACCCGCAGAAGAAGCACCGGCUAACUCCGUGCCAGCAGCCGCGGUAAUUC
rnacentral:rRNA from 1 species